rnacentral:rRNA from 1 species
CCUACGGGAGGCAGCAGUGGGGAAUCUUGCGCAAUGGGCGAAAGCCUGACGCAGCAACGCCGCGUGCGGGAAGAAGGCUUUCGGGCUGUAAACCGCUUUCAGCAGGAACGAAAAUGACGGUACCUGCAGAAGAAGGAGCGGCCAACUAUGUGCCAGCAGCCGCGGUGAUACAUAGGCUUCAAGCGUUGUCCGGAUUUAUUGGGCGUAAAGAGUUCGUAGGCGGUCGAGUAAGUCGGGUGUGAAAAUUCUGGGCUCAACCCAGAGACGCCACCCGGAUACUGCUUGACUUGAGUUCGAUAGGGGAGUGGGGAAUUCCUAGUGUAGCGGUGAAAUGCGCAGAUAUUAGGAGGAACACCGGUGGCGAAGGCGCCACUCUGGAUCGAUACUGACGCUGAGGAACGAAAGCAUGGGUAGCAAACAGGAUUAGAUACCCUGGUAGUCCAUGCCGUAAACGGUGGGCACUAGGUGUGGGUUUCUAUUAACGAAAUCCGCGCCGUCGCUAACGCAUUAAGUGCCCCGCUGGGGAGUACGGUCGCAAGACUAAAACCUUAAAGGAAUUGACGG